ensembl:lncRNA
CUGGAGUUGGUGAUGGACAGGGAAGCCUGGCGUGCUGCAGUCCAUGGGGUCGCAAAGACAUGACGGAGCGACUGAACUGAACUGAACUGAACUGGAGAGGUGCUGAUCAUUCCCAGUGAAGGGUGACACCUGCUGGACCCAGGUGGCAUUGUCUUUGGAAUGAGAGUUGGAGUCUAGAAAGAAACCAGAAAUGAAAACACAUACUGGAGGAGUUUAGCCUGACAGAAAGUUGUGGACAGAGAACAAGCGGUUAAGAAUGCAUGUCUGCCAAAAAGGAAAAAAAGAAUACAUGUCUGUGUGUGGGUGUCUAUGUAGGAACAUGGUAAGCAGAAUCUGAUGAGCUGCGGGAAGGGGUCAGAAGACAGUGUGCGGAAUCUUCCUGGCUUGUCUCCGUGGUGGUCUGUGUGGGUGCCUGGUGGGUGGGGUUGGGUCCCUUCCUCCUUGCAUGGUUUCUGUCCUGAUGGGGGCCUGGAGAACAGUGGGGAUAGCACUGAUCGUACAGCCUUCAUAUCCAAGGCAGGUGCUCAGGCAUAAAAAAAGAAGAAAACAAUUCCAUUUGCAGCAACAUGGAUGGGCCUAGAGAUUAUUUUACUAAGUGAAGCAAGUCAGAAAGAGGAAGACAAAUACCAUGUGAUACCACUUAUAUGUGGAAUCUAAAAUAAGAUACAAAUGAAUUUAUCUACGAAACAGACUCACAGAUACAGAGAAUGGAUGGAUGGUUGCCAAGAGAAAGAUCCUUGUGAUCAAGGCACCUCUUCUGGAAGGAGUUUCGCCAGAAAGUCAAGGAAAUGGGAAAAUGUUCCUGAGUUCAGAAUGGCUCUUCUCUGAGCUGGGCCAUGUAAGGGAAGGCUGUCCUCUUUCAGAUGGGGAGCUGAAAGAAAAAUACCACGUAGAUCUCCUGGGAUCCAGCAAGCCAGAUUACAAGGUGAGAGGAAGGGGGAUGUGUGUACUGCGCAGGCAAGCGAGUGGAGCCUGGGAGGAAGGCAGGAUGAUGGGUCACCUCCCGCACUGCGUGAGGAGAGUAGGAUGCCACGCACAGCAAGUGCCAGAAAGGGGGGGGUGCGUGUGCCUGUGUGUGAGACAGAGAGAGAGAGCUGGGCUUUUGCGUUAUAUCUAAUACAAGGGGCACAAUGAUUGGUUCUCUCCCU